rnacentral:rRNA from 1 species
UACGUAGGAGGCGAGCGUUGUCCGGAUUUAUUGGGCGUAAAGAGCGCGUAGGCGGCCUGGCAAGUUGGGUGUGAAAUCCCCUGGCUUAACUGGGGGGAGUCAUCCGAUACUGCCAAGCUUGAGGCAGGCAGAGGAAGGUAGAAUUCCCGGUGUAGUGGUGAAAUGCGUAGAUAUCGGGAGGAAUACCAGUGGCGAAGGCGGCCUUCUGGGCCUGUUCUGACGCUGAGGUGCGAAAGCGUGGGGAGCGAAC